ensembl:lncRNA LINC02669 long intergenic non-protein coding RNA 2669
AAUGGGCAACGAUCAAAUUUCACCUUGAGCAGAUUCUUUUGUUUGCUUUUUAGUCACAAAUAGCUUGGCCCUAAGUGGUGGCUCCCAUUCUUGUAAGAUGCGUUUAUUCAUCGUGUAAUCACCAGUUCCCUGUAGUGGGGGCGUGGAUGGAGUGUCAGAGGCUCCUGCUGGUCUUUAGGGUGUCUGGCCUCCAGGAAUCCUAGAGGUAGUAUUUGGAGAGAUUUUUAAAAGCUUUGUUUCUGUGACCAGCAAAACCUGGAUUUGACACUGAGGUCAGCCCGUUUCAGCCAGUGACGUAACCUGUCUUUUUGCCCCAGUAAAUUGGGAACUACAGCACUCGAUGUUAGAGUUGUCGUGAAGAUUAAAGAAGGUGACGACUGGACAACUCCCAGCCCAAUACCUGAAACUGUACCAGCACCCAGUGAGCACUGCUAUUCCUGUGACUGCUGCACAUUUGCCUUAUCUCAGCAGUAUGCCUGUGUCACUUUUUUGGCUAACGUCAAGACUUUCACAGUAGUUUAACUGAAGAAUCUGCAAAAUUUAACAGUUAUUCCAAUCCCUUCUAUGUUAAGGAUUACCCUUCAAUCAAUGUCUCAUUUUCUCUCUAAAAUCUAUUGAAAAAGAAAAAAAAAAACACAACAGAA